GCCAGCGAUUAGGUCGGGAACUCAAAGGAGACUGCCAGUGAUAAACUGGAGGAAGGUGGGGAUGACGUCAAGUCAUCAUGGCCCUUACGACCAGGGCUACACACGUGCUACAAUGGCGCAUACAAAGAGAAGCGACCUCGCGAGAGCAAGCGGACCUCAUAAAGUGCGUCGUAGUCCGGAUUGGAGUCUGCAACUCGACUCCAUGAAGUCGGAAUCGCUAGUAAUCGUGGAUCAGAAUGCCACGGUGAAUACGUUCCCGGGCCUUGUACACACCGCCCGUCACACCAUGGGAGUGGGUUGCAAAAGAAGUAGGUAGCUUAACCUUCGGGAGGGCGCUUACCACUUUGUGAUUCAUGACUGGGGUGAAGUCGUAACAAGGUAACCGUAGGGGAACCUGCGGUUGGAUCACCUCCUUACCUUAAAGAA
rnacentral:rRNA from 1 species